rnacentral:rRNA from 1 species
GAUGAACGCUGGCGGCGUGCCUAAUACAUGCAAGUCGAGCGAACGGACGAGAAGCUUGCUUCUCUGAUGUUAGCGGCGGACGGGUGAGUAACACGUGGAUAACCUACCUAUAAGACUGGGAUAACUUCGGGAAACCGUAGCUAAUGCCGGAUAAUAUUUUGAACCGCAUGGUUCAAAAGUGAAAGACGGUCUUGCUGUCACUUAUAGAUGGAUCCGCGCUGCAUUAGCUAGUUGGUAAGGUAACGGCUUACCAAGGCAACGAUGCAUAGCCGACCUGAGAGGGUGAUCGGCCACACUGGAACUGAGACACGGUCCAGACUCCUACGGGAGGCAGCAGUAGGGAAUCUUCCGCAAUGGGCGAAAGCCUGACGGAGCAACGCCGCGUGAGUGAUGAAGGUCUUCGGAUCGUAAAACUCUGUUAUUAGGGAAGAACAAAUGUGUAAGUAACUGUGCACAUCUUGACGGUACCUAAUCAGAAAGCCACGGCUAACUACGUG